GUUAGGAUGGUUGAGUGGUCUAAGGCACCAAACUCAAGUUUUGGUCCUCAUUCAAGGGUAUGGGUUCAAAUCCCACUUUUGACA
rnacentral:tRNA from 1 species